CGUCAGAGGGUGUCCACGGCAUAGUUAGGGUUAAGCCACUUAGCCAUGGAGGUAAGUGAAUGUGCAACAAGGGAUCUCUAACCUUCAAACUGUUUGAGGGAGAAUACUCUAUGAUAUGAUUAAAAAUCUCUGACCAGAGUAUGAAUAAGAUUUAGGAAGUCGUUCCAAAUCACAUUCAAGGUAAUCAUAUAAGUAAGAGAAUCACAUUGGAUAGUAGACAUGAAUAAACUAUCAAACCAAACAAUGUGGUCAAGAGUAUUGUAUUAGAGAAUGACCGUAUUCCAUUGUAAUCCUAAACUGAAUAGGUUCUCCACCUCUUUUGAUUAGCUUGGGUAACCAUGACAUACUGCUAGGUGUCACUCAUGGUUUGUGAAGCCCUAAACGUGUAUAAUCACUAAAGGGAGAAUUAAAAGUAAGUUUCAAUUCACAAUCGAUUUGAAAGAGUUCUAAUCGCCCACUGCCUCGCUAAAAGGAACCUAAUGGAUUGUACACCGUGUAAGGUAGAGAUUGAAGAAACAAUGGAGAUGAGUAAGGAUAAUUAAAUGGUUUAAUUGUUUAUGGCAAAAAUUAAUUAAUAUGUUAAUUAAUCAAACGAAUAAGUUCGUUUUAAACCUUGAGUUAGUUUUGGGCCUUAAAGCCCAAAUUGGGCUUCGAAUCAUCAAGCCCAUUAGCUUAAGUUGUAUGACAACUUAACAAACAAAAAUUCAAGAAGCCCAAAACAGCCUAAAGGCUUGGGAAAACCGGCCAUAUAGAGAGGGGUAGUGAACUUUGCUUAAUUGCAAGUUUGCCACUCCAUUGUGAGGUGGUAUAAAGGCAACUUUAUAGCCAUUUCAUUCUUAGGGUUUCAUUUAGAGAAAAUAUGAGAACACAAGCUCCAUUUUUCUCUCUAAGAGGCCGGCCACCCUAGAGGAUUUUAGCUAGCAGUCUUACUUCCUCUAGGUCACUCAUCUCUUCUUCAAGUCCUACCUUGGUGUGGAGACUU
rnacentral:lncRNA from 1 species